rnacentral:rRNA from 1 species
UACGUAGGGGGCAAGCGUUGUCCGGAAUCAUUGGGCGUAAAGCGCGUGUAGGCGGUCCGGUAAGUCGGUUGUGAAAGUCCAGGGCUCAACCCUGGGAUGCCGAUCGAUACUGCCGGACUAGAGUCCGGAAGAGGCGAGUGGAAUUCCCGGUGUAGCGGUGAAAUGCGCAGAUAUCGGGAGGAACACCAAUGGCGAAGGCAGCUCGCUGGGACGUGACUGACGCUGAGACGCGAAAGCGUGGGGAGCAAACAGG